UAAACCACCAAUAUCCCAAGGAUGUCCCAAAAUAGUCAUGGACGUCACCGAUAUCAAGAACGUCGCCUGGAUGUCCAGCAGACAUCAGCUUUUGGUCGUGCAAAUUUGCUCCUGCCAAGCACAUUGGACAUUCACAUAACAGCUAAGCCAUGACAAAGCCGCAUUUCGGUGACGCCUUCGAUAUAUAUGGGCAGACUUCUUUUGAAGCCCAGCAAAUCCACCAAACAGAAUAGCAGGGGGCGCUACAAGCGGCUUCGACUCCCUAUUCUAUCCAAUCCAAGACAGGUCACUCCCCACGCUUGCCGGCGGUGUAAACUGCGAACAGCUCACUGUCUUCUGCUUUGGCGAUCAAAAGGAAAAACUGGCGACCUAUUGCGACUACGAUAAUUAUGCAAUACGCAAUUGUUGAAUUUACCGAAACACAAGAGGUCGAGGUGGUUCCUUGCUCAUGGAUCACUGGCGACAAAUGUCUUUGGCCAAAUCGGCCAUCAAGCAAGGUUCAACGUAUGGUGAAGAAAGGUUUGCCUCCUGGGCUAGACCGAAUGGAGUACAGUGCCAAAGUGAAAGGAAUAUUUGCAUCAUACCACGAUGCUCGGCUAAAGCUGCCCCUGUCUGAGUUAACUUCGGACAUUGGUUCAGAUGUUGUUCCUGCCAAGAGAAGGCGAAAGGCGAAAGUGUUUGAAAGUGAAGAAGAAGAAGGAAGCUUCCCACCUCUUCCCGAAAGCUUCGUCAAAAGCACUCAAGGUGCAACUCCAAUACGAGUGGCUUCCAGUAAAGCACAGGCACUAUCCGCACGACCUGAUGCUAGGAAUGACACCCAAUGUGUCAGCCAAGGAUCCAGCUAUCUGCUGCAACCAGGGGAUGAGUCAGAUGCUGAUUCUGUGAUAUCUGAACCAGACUCAGGAUCUGCAUCAGUACCUCCAUCAUCAACAAAAAGUAUUCUAGGAAGCAGUGACAUGUCUACACGUACAGCAGUGCAAAACAAACCUGCAGAUGAAUCUUCUUCAGUCAAUGCAGAAACCAGACCCGUGCCUCUACAUGAGUUCCAGCGUCAGGUUCUUCGAUUACUGAACAUCAUACGCUUGAACCAGCAACAGCAGGGCGACCUCCUAUAUGGCUUCACAUCUUUAAAGUCUAGUACCGUGAUGCCUGAACAGCCCAUAAUUGUGCCAGAGCCACUAGACACCAUUGAGCAGCUGGACCAGUUCGAGAAGCAGCUAACACCGGAAACCGAGAAGCAGCUGGCUCUAGAGCUAGCACGUCUGGGAGGAACCUCCUGUAAAAUCGCAGUGAAGAGGAUGCUUUGUCAUCUCCUAACCAACAAGUUAGCCAUGCUGUUUAGUUGGCUUGGCAACAAAGGCAAGGAUAGCUUCAAGCACCUCAAGAUCGUCAGCAUCAUGUUGCGUAAGUCUGCAAGGUGGUGUGCGGCAGAUAAAAAAGUUGGAAAAGACGACUGAGUUCGAUGUGGAAACUGAAAUCAAAUCAUGGUUGCGCCACGCGAAAGAGCGACAGGCCCGAACGCAGAAGGAGUGAAACACAGCCACCCAGACUGACCAACCAAGGCUCCUAUAAAGGCUACAUUGUUGGAGUUACAAGGUGACUUGCCAGAGCCUAGUCGAGUCUACCUAGUCAAGUAUUCUACAUUGUGAGAACUUUUACUGCUACGUGUACCUGUUUUUCUUACUAAGCGAGCUGCUUAAAGAAGUAGAGCACCGUCAAACAUUUUCCUUAGCACCGGGUGUUUGAAACUCGUCACAAACUUUUUGGAAGAUGCUGUGUGAAGUUUGCAAGUUAUCCUUUGGCACAAGUCUGCAACAUUUACACCAUACGUGCCUUUCUAUGUUCUAGUUGUAGUAGCUAUUGCGGUCCUAAGCUGUGCGUUCAUGAAGCCAUGCUGCCUUGCGUGUCAAGGAAUGAUAUGUUGAAAGUUAAGUGUUUUCGUGCGGCUUCCUCGAGUGAUACCCCUGUGGUAUAGUCAGUCUUCGAUGAUCACCAAAACCAGUGUCCAUUGAAUGCUGGUGUAGCAUCCCCUUUACACGCAUGGGGGCAGUGGAGAUUGGACAGUCAUUGGACAUUGGCAUUGAUGACCAUCGAAGGCUGGCUGUUUAACAGGGUUAUUAGAUGUCAUGCCCCCGAUCUUUAUCCUUUAGACCAUUACCAUGUUUUUUGAUGUGCGGAACAUUUUUAGCUGCUAAUUUUGGUGUCACAAGAACAGUUCAUAUAGAAGACACGCUGCCUUUGUAAUUUUUUAAAGAUGUGUCAUGUUGUGGUGGCAACUUUAGACCUGUGUAUCUCAUGUUUGCAUUCCUGUCAAUCCCUACGUUACAUACAUAACUUUAGUUUAAUUUUUUAGGUUGUAUUGUGUUGGUGACUCUAGACGUGUGUACCUCAUGUUUGCAUUCCUGUGAAUUCUUGCACUGCAAUAACUAAUUCCUUGGAUUUUAUAAGAUUUUAUUGUAUAACUGUUAUAUGGUCACGAAUAUGAUCUAAUUUGGUGGCUUUGUCGCUGCUUUUUAUCCUACCUAGUCAUGAUAUGAUACUCAUUUUUGCAUUAUCUAUAAUAAAGCUGUCUGUUCAUUUUA